AAGAAUGCUUUUUAUAUGUAGUAUUUUUGAGAUAUUCAUAACAAAUGUUAUUAAAUCUGACGAUUAAUUUGAGAUAUUUUUAGCUUCCGUUUAUGUUUUAAUUCAACCAAACCACAUCAAUAUGCGAUCCACUGAAAAUUUUACUUUAUAAUUAAUAAAAUUAUUAUUAGCGUGUACUAAAAGAUUUGCUUCGACUAAGAAAUUGCGAUUUCUCUUAUUUAUUAUAAUGAUAUAUUUAUAAUUAUAAUAACCAAAUAAUAAAUCAGUAUAUUUAUUCGAAAUUGUAUUGUAUAAGUUAAGCAAAUCUUCAAUUAGAAGAAUAAAUUUAAACAUCGAUAUAAAUUUACGAAAACAAAUUUUCAAUUAAUUUUUUUUUCUAGCACACAUAUUACCAAAGUGUAAUAUCAAACUACUUGAAAUUGAUCAACUAUCACGAAGCAUACGCCAUUUGCUACAUACCAAAAGAAUUAAAUUACACGUCGGAGUGAAAUAUAAAGAUGGUGAAAACUCUAGUAGAGGAUGGUACGUGGUAGACAUAAAAAUGAACAAGGACAAAAGGAUAAAGGACGAGAAGGAAGCUGCAUUGAAACCAAGACAAAUAUAUAUCGAUGGUGAAGCGAUGCGACAACAAAAUCGCGCGGCGUCGUGUGCAGGCUGAACAGACUGAGAAGCUAUCUUAAUUAGCAGAAGAAUUGUCACGUGCCCAAAUAGCUGUUGAAGCAAAACAAGAAGAAAUUAAAAUGGCGCACAGGCUAGCUGCCGAAUUAUCGCGGCGUGAAAGCGAAGAAGUAAAACGCACACUAAGAUCUGAUCGAAUAAAAUCCUCUGUUCGCUCGCAACCGAGUUGUGCUGUAAACGAAGCCCGAUCGCGUCUGAUAGAGGAAAAGGUGCGUCUAGAAGCGAAUCAAGCAGAGUUGUUGAGGCUCUGGCAUGAAGAUGAAAGCAUCGAGAAAUUGCAAAGAACCAAGAAUAAAAGAAAAAAGCAGAAUUUACGCGAUGAACUGCAGAAACAAUUGGUGGACAAUCAACGACGACGUCAACAGAACAGAAUUGAGGAGAAAGAGCAAGAUCGCAAGAUAAUGAAGCGAGCAAUACAAAAGAUACUGGAGGAAGAUGCAAAGAUAAGGAAAAGGAAAGAAAACGCGAAUCUUCUGAAAGCAGAGAUGGCCGCGUCUUUAGCGGCUAAAAACGCAUGGGAAAGAAAAUAUAAAAAAGCGUUAAAAGAUGAAAAUGAAAGGAUAGCUCGCGUAAUCGCAGAGAAGGAAGCUCGACAAAAAAAGCAACUCGAAAUUAAAGUAAAAUUGGAUUUGACCUAAAAAUAUAUUUUUCUUUAAUAUAUUAAAUAUAUUUAAGAUUUAACUAAUAAAUUUACGAGAUGAAAAACAGUAGUGUUUAUUUUUCAUGAUUUAGGUAGAAUUUCAAGCGAUGAAAAAAGCAGCGAUAGAAAAAGCAGCUAAAAAAUUGUUAGCCAAUGUAUAUAAAGAGAAAAAGAAGCAUGAAAUCUCUGACGAAUUGUAUUUCGGAAACCAAGGGAACAAAUGGAUAAAAGAAUCGGUCAGACCUGUAUUAAAGAAACAAUGUGAUAUUACUAAUAUGGUAAUGCCAAUUAUUAAAUUAUUCGGGUAUUUACCAUACGUCUGUAAAAUUAAGUUAAUUAUUACAUCGAAUCAAAUCUUUUCUCAAAAAGAAUAAAUAUUUUAAAAUAACUUUCUAAUCAUUUAUUGUUUGUAAUUAUCAUUAAAUUUUAAUUGCGCUUGUUUUUUUGUAUAAAUGCAGAAAUUACAUAACAAGAAUAGAAUCUCAUAAAAUUUCAUAAAUUUUUCUUACUAUUUAAAGGCGAGACAGAAAGCUGAACGUAAAGCAAGAGAUGAAGCGGUUGAUACCGCGUUUGCACGAUAUUUAGCCGAAGAACGAAAAAAAGAGCUCGAGAAACAAAGAGAAUACAAUAAUACACGACAUGCAAAAAAAAUUCAAUAUGGACAAGACUUAAAAGAAAUAAUAACAAAUAACAGAAUUAUUUACGCUAUGAAUAUUUUGGAAAGGCAGUCUGAAAUUUGCACUCACGAUAAAAAGACAAAUCAGUUGACUGCAACAAGUGCAAAACAAUUUAAUAACAGAAAUGAUAAUAAGAUUUAAAAAAAGAUAAUUGAUACUGGCAUCAGAGGCUGUGCUGAAUGAUAUAAAUUUAUAAUUGAUACACUUAACAUUAUGUAAUAGAAGGAAUGCUUGAAAAUUUACAAUAUAGGUAUGAAAUUUUUCUGGUAUAAAAUUCCAACAGAAAAAUGCAUAAUAUUAAUAUUACAAUAAAAACUAAUGUAUAUAUAAAUAACUAAAAAAUAAACAAUAAAAAUAAUUUACAAUUUAAUUAAAGUACCGUCGAAUAUGAUCUAAGUUAACGUAUUAACGUAGAUCUCAAAAUUCGCUCAAUAAAAAAAUUUCAUAUUCAAAAAGAUAAUAAAACAAUAUUAAUAAAGUUUGAAGCUUACAACCGCGCAAUAACGAGUUCAAAAACCGAGAAUUUCAAAAGUUCAUUUAACUUUUAAAAUUCACAUGAUAGUCAUUCCCUUUCACUUCUCUAUAAAUCAGGAUACGCAUAUUCUAUUAGAAGGUUCGAUUAAAUGCAAAUGUAUCUUUUCCCAAAUCCCCACUCUAUACAAAUGCGUGUUUGCUUUGCACGGUCGCAACUUCUUUAUUCGUUCACAUUUCAUCUAGUAUUUAUUGAUAUACAGGUAUGUACAACAUAUCUCCCCGGCGCGAGGGUCUCCCCACGAGAACUCCCUCCGUUAUAUUUGUACAAAGUCCGUGUAAAAAUACAGCAGCCCCAUUAUAUCUUAUAUCAAUUAUAAGUUUAUGUGGUACGCGGUAUAAGAGUUAAAAUAAUAACAGUCUCGCCUCUCGGACGUAUCAAAUAUUCCGAAUAGGUUCGGAUCGAGACCACUUGUGCCCUCGACUUUGUUCGGAUCCGAGUGUUGUGUAUGUGUGUAUGUGUGUUGUAUCAUUUGGCAUGCGGGGGGGACAUGUGCAAUCUCAUCACCCCUCGCCACUGCUAACUAUUAAAUGGAAUAAGAAGCACUCGAGCUUAACGGGAAUGACUACAGCAUUAACUGCAAGUAUCAAUUUGUUCGGUGGCUGGCAAUCGCCCACAAUCGACUCAAUCUUAUCAUCACUCGCGGAUCAAAAAUAGUGUUCAACUACGAACUACCAAACUACAAAUGCUUUCUCAAAUUAUAUGACGAGCACGCAUACGUACGAGAGAAAGAUUUCACGCACGGCAGCAUCAACCAUUUUUUUUUUGCUAAUGUAAAUAUAAACACGACAGUCUUGAAUCUCAUAAUAAUCAGCAAUAAUCAAAUUUCGAAGCUCAAGAAAGCUGCUAUCCUUUUACAAAAGUAGAUUAAUCUUGUCCUGUAAAAUAAACGGAGUUAGAAGGAAUCUAAUUUCCAUUGAAAACUUUAACUUCGUUAUUCUGCUGUCUUCUUAUUCACUUAGGAAAUUCAAAUAGAAAUCAGAAUUCCUUUUAACGCCAAUCUUUCCCUUUAAUGUACAUAUGUUUCGUAAACAAUUUUUUGAUUUUCUUAGUAAUUCUCU
rnacentral:misc_RNA from 1 species